CUUCUCUCCCAGCUAAUAGGCUUUGCCAUCCCCAAGAUGGGCGCGAUCCUUUUCCUGCUUGCCAAAAGGUACAAUUUGGGAAGUACAGGUCCUUCAUAAUUUGGCUUACUUGAUUGUUUGGGUGAUGAGAAAGGCGCCAAGCUUGUUUUCCUAACAUAGCCAUAUUGAAAGUGGAAAGAUCCUUGAAACCGAGACCUCCUUCCUUUUUUGUGAGCUUGAGAAGUUCCCAUUUUCUCCAAUGAAGACCCUUCGCUUUAUUAUUGUUUCUCCACUAGAAGUUAGCAAUCUUCUUUUCUAUAUCUCUGAUAAUAGAUAAUGGGAUUUUAAAAUGGACAUAGCAUACUGGGGUAUAGCUUGCACAACUGAUUUGAGAAGUGUUUCCUUACCCACUCUUGAUAACAAGUUUUCCUUCCAACUUUCUAGCUUCAUAUUUAUUUUAGUUAGAAUCCACGUGAACACUUCUUUUUUGGAUGCACCCCAGUCCGAAGGGAUUCCUAGAUAUUUCCCAGUUUUCAUAAUAAUUGGAACUCUCAGCUCAUACGCCAUAUUUCUCCGUGGUUGUUCUAGACAGCCCUUAGUAAAGAAUAUCCCUGAUUUAUUGCGGUUGACAGCUUGACCUGAUGCAUAACAAUACUGAUGCAGGAUAGACGCUAAGUUUUGACAUUCCAAGAUUGUACCAUGAAAGAAAAAAAUGGAGUCAUUUGCAAAUAAUAGAUGGGAAAGAGUGGGACAAUUUCUAUUCAACCUGAUACCACAGAUUGUACCUGUUUGUAUGGCUUGCUUUAACAUGUGGGAUAGGACAUUUGCCACAAUGAUGAAUAAAUAAGGGGAUAAUGGAUCACCUUGGCGAAUUCCCCGAGUUGGCUGGAAAUAAGGCAAGGAUACACCAUUAAUCUUGAUGUUGUAGGAGACAGUUGUAACACACUGCAUGACCAUUUUAACCCAUUCUUCACAAAACCCCAUCUUCAGCAGGCAUGCUUGAAGGAAAUCCCACUCUAUCCGAUCAUACGCCUUUUGCAUAUCAAGUUUGAGGACCGCCUGGAAGUGCUGCUGUCGAUCUCGAGUUCUUAGUCUGUAAAGGACUUCCUGGACAAUAAGGAUGUUAUCCUAUAUUUGCCGUCCUUCCACAAAUGCACUAUGUUCUAGUUCAAUUAGGGCUGGUAGUAGGGGUUUCAAUCUAUUUGUGAUGAUUUUGGAAAUGAUUUUGUAGGCAAAAUUGCACAGGCUUAGGUCUAAAUUGUUCUAUUUUUUCUGGGUUUUGGAUUUUAGGGAUAAGAGUGAUUUGUGUUUGGUUAAAGGCUGGGUUUAGGGAUCCGGUCUCGAAGAAGUGUUGAAUCUCCCGAUAGAUAUCUUCUCCAAUAUCUCGCCAGUGGUGUUGAAAAAAGAUGCCAUUUAACCCAUCCGGCCCUGGAGCUUUAUUAGGUCCCAAUUGGUAUGCAGCUUCUUUAAUUUCGUCCAUAGUAACAAGUGUAGUAAGCUUUUGAUUUAUAGUUACAUCCACCAAGUUGGGAAUAUAAUCAAGGAUGGGCUGAAAGUUCCGUUGUCCCCCCAGACGUAUAUAGGUUUUUGAAAAAGUUAACAGUCAUGUCCUGAAGUGCUUCUUGAUUGCGAAUCCACUCCUCCUGAUUGUUUAAUAACAUGGAAAUUCGAUUCCGGUUUCUCCGUUGAAUAGUUGUUGCAUGGAAAAUUUUGGUAUUUUUAUCUCCCCAUUGCAACAACUUAAUUCUUGAUCUCAUGCCCCAGAACAUCUCCUCUUGUCGCCAUAGGGAUUCGAUUUCUUGGUUAAUUUGUUGAAUUCUUUGCUGAUCAUAGUCACAUUCUUGGCUGUUCAUGAAGGUCAGAAGUUUCUUUUUCAACCUUUCUAUCCUUUUAUAUGCAUUGGGAUAUCUUCUUUUACUCCACACAGCAAGUUUUGUAGCUACUAACUUUAGUUUCUCAACCAUGUUUUUACCUUGGGAUUCUUCCCAAGUUCGUUUCACAAGGCUCGUACAAUCCUCAUCUUCAGCCCAGUACCGCUUCAUACCUAAAAUCUGUUUUUUGCAAUCUGUUUUAGGAUACAGGGACAACGAAAGAGGGCUGUGAUAAGAGCCUAUUGCUGGUAGCGCUAAAACCUCCGCAGCUGGAUAAGCUAUUCUCCACUCCAAGGUACAUAAGGCUCUAUCCAACCUUUUCUUGACAUUUUUCCCACCACCUCUUCGAUUUGUCCAUGUAAAUGCGCAUCCUUUACUUUCUAGAUCGAUAAAAGAACAUGCAUGUAGGAAAUCUCUGAAAGCCGUAAGACGAUAGUUUUCUGACAACCUCUUUCCCACUUUUUCCCAAUGAUACAAAAUUUCAUUAAAGUCGCCAAUACACAGCCAAUGUAGAUGAUUGAAGAUGCUUAGUCGUUGUAUUUCUUCCCAUAAUAAUAUUCUAGCUUUAAAACAAGUUGGAGCAUACACGAAAGUGAUUCUCAUUAACUGCUUAUUUUCUAAAGUUGACAUUGCACAUUGAUAAAGUUUCUGGAAGAAGAAUCCACAACUAUGGUAACCGUUUCAUCCCAAAAGAUUGCCAAACCCUCUGAAAAACCAUCUGGAUUCUCCAAAAAAACAAUUUUGAAACUUCAAUCUACAACGCCAUUUUUGCACCAGUGGCUCUCUAUUUUUGGUUUUCAUUAAACAAAUAAUAUUAGGUCGUUCUUGAGACACUAGGGCUCUUAAAGCUCAAAUUGUCAAGAAUGAGCCCAACCCCUGACAAUUCUAACUUAUUAUUUUCAUGGCUGACCUGGUGGCUUAUUCAGGCUAGCCACCAAAGUCUAGUGCAUUGAUUUCUCCUCUUCCGAGAUAGGAAUGUCCACAAGCUGCAAUUUAUCAGUAGAAGGUGCCUUUGACGAUUGAGCACCAUACGGGCAGAAUCUCUUUCUUUUUUUCGAAGUAGGUAGUUUAGUACUUUUAAUUUUACCCUUGUUUCGGCUUCUUUCAUUUGCUGGCUGGUAUUCUUCCUCAAACUCUUUUUCUUUUAGCUGUUCAGUGUAAAGAAACAUCAUAGAUUCGUCAUCUAAACAGCUACUUCCUCUUUUCUGUGGACCUUUUUCCUCCCUUAUGGUAAUAGCAAGAGAAUGGUGAAGAGGAUCUACUUGUUGUUUCAAAGCCUCCUCCGAAGAAAUUUGACUUCUAAUAGGUGGGUUAGGCUGCUCUGUUGUUCUAAUUGCUUGCUGAUUUUCUUGUAUUUCUGCAGCAAGGGGGGAUUCCGGUACCACUUCAGGAUCUUGAAGGAGCUCAACAUGUUUUCCAUAAAAUAUUUUACCAUAAGGGCUGAUAUCCCUGACUUCGGCACGUAACCAGCUACCAAAAUUACCUAGUAAAUCCUCUUCCAGCCUUGUAAAGUCAUAUGGAAUUUCUUUGCACGCUGUAGCAUAAUGUCCAAUUCUUCCACAAGAAAAGCAGAAGUGUGGGAGCCUCUCAUAUUUGAAUUCUAUCCAUAAUUUUUUGCUGCCCAAACUGAGAACGACACAUGUUUUAAGGGGGGGAGCCCAAAUGAAGAUUAACUCGGGCUUUACCAAAUUUAUACAUACUAUUUCCUUUAGCUUCCAACUUCACAUCUAUUGCCUCGCCGAUUUUGGCAGCUAUAUCUCUAACAACUUCCUUCGUCACUCUACCAAAUGGAAGACCAUAUCGAUUAACCCAAAAGGGAUAGUGAUCAAAAUUAUAACAUAUCUCUGGAAUGUCAGGAUCACACUGCUGAAGCACUAGCAGAUAUCUGAUCAUUCAUCAUUUUUGAUCUACUCACAAACUCAUAAAGUUGUAAGAGAGCUACCUCAGCAAAGAAAAAGCAGAGAGGC
rnacentral:lncRNA from 1 species